rnacentral:rRNA from 1 species
GACUCUCGGCAACGGAUAUCUCGGCUCACGCAUCGAUGAAGAACGUAGCAAAAUGCGAUACUUGGUGUGAAUUGCAGAAUCCCGUGAACCAUCGAGUUUUUGAACGCAAGUUGCGCCCGAAGCCUUUUGGCCAAGGGCACGUCUGCCUGGGCGUCACGC